rnacentral:lncRNA from 1 species
AGAUUGCAUUCUCCCAAUCACAUAUUCCUUGGACUUUAUCGUUUUAAGCAUAUAACAUUUAUAUGAGACGGCUCAAACAAUAAUCUUUGCCCUUUAUAUGUUAAACUAGAUUAGUUUAACAUUUGAAAUGUCCGUAAAGUAUCAUCAUAUGAUUGGUUUUAGGGCACAUUUCCAACAGCUAGUUCAAGUAGGGGUUCAAGAAUGGCCUCAGAAGAAUAUCAUAUUGACCAUACUCGUUGCCUACCUUCACUUAAUCAUAUGUUUAUAGGCUUCUCCUGAAUGUAAGCACAUACUUUGCAUACCCCAGAACUGGACGAAUACGGUGUAUGAGUCACAAAUGAUUGAAGCCCACCAUGGUGGAAGGCCUACGAAGAGAUGUUUAAAGCAUCUCUCGCUUAUCAACUUAAUAAUGGUUUGGUUGAGGGUUUUUAGGUCUCAUCAUAUAUAAACAUUCAUUUUAAUCUUAUUAAAACAAUUUUGGUCCUAUUACAACUUUUGGUCCAUGUGAUUGAUUUAGUAGUAUAUAAUACUCCCACUAAGCUUGUAAAACGGUUUUUAAAGCAAGAGUAUAUGGUACUACUAACAUAAGGUUUGCAUUCAUUUGAUGGACUAUAUAGUUGCCUUAGGGCCUUAGGAUGACUAUAAACUUUUAAUUAGAUCCAACACGAGCCUUGUGUUGAAUCUCGGUCUAGGGAUGGUGAUUGAUUUUAGUUACGCGUUUAAUCAUAUUAAGGCAUGUUUCUCCUAUUGGGCGUUGGACCCAACUACUCCAAUUUCACGCAUAUCAAAUAAAACAAGAAAAGGAGUACUUCAAAGUAAAGAAGAGCUUAUGCUCUUUUACAACAUUUGAACAAAACAAAUUACUUUAAAGUAAAGAAGAGCUUAUGCUCUUUUACAACAUUUGAUCAUAUCAAAUUACAACCAAAAUCUAAUCUACACAUUCCCAUGGUUCAAACAAAUUUGAAACGGCCUUUCACAUAGCUCAAUUAUAAUAGGCUUAGGUUCAUAAUCACCCUUUAAUUAAUUAACGCUUUAACUAAUUAAACUUUGAAUGCAACAUUGUCAUUGGUUUUUGUAUCCAUAGAAUUGAUUUAAAUGGAGCUAAAUGAAAUGAAAAUCCAAUUCUCAUUUAAUGAGACAAAACCAUUUUGUUCUCAACCUAACUUGGGCCAAAAUGCAAUAACCUCAACCUUUUGGGCUAUGUUGCAAAACUUAAACUUUUGAGCUCAUUUUGUAAAAACACAAAAGUCCACUACUUCAUGUAAUUACAACUAGAACCCAAAAAUUUCAACAAAUUUAAAAACUUCAUUAAAGGAACAAAACAAUUUGUCCUUUAAUGAUUUUGGGCCUUUACGUAAAAACGUAAACUUUUGGGCCAAAGUGCAAAUACACAAAAGUACCAAAACUUUAUGUAAUUGCAUAAAAGCCCCAAAAGCACCCCACUAGUAGGGUGGCCGGUUUUAGAGAGAGUGAGGAAUGCAAAAUUUUGAAAUUUUUCAACAAAGUCAAAGCCAUGCAAGUGGUGUGUGUGUAAGAGAAGUACUUCUUACACACCCAUCACCAUUUCUAUCACCUUUCAAAAUUUCAAUCACAUUAAAACAUUUGAUAAAGCACAAAACAAAGACUUUAUGAAAUAAAUCAAAACUUUGAAUCAAAACACCAAACUUUUUGUUCUUGGCUAAAAUGUCAAGAACAAUGAAGAACAUUCAUGAAAAACCCAUAAAAGCUUCAUGAACAUUUUUCAUCCAAAGACAUCCCAAAAACACUCAAACUUAAGGGAAAUAACAUAUAAUCAAACUAGGGUACAUAGGGGUUCCAAAAGUUACUUGAAAACACUUUUAACAAGUCAAACAUGAACCCAAAAAUCCACCCUUUGGAUUUGGCCGAAUUUUCCCAAAAACAUGGCACCAAAUUUUAGCUCCAAUAUUCAUGCUCAUAUGAAUUACAUCUACAACAUUUGAGAUGGCAAAUUUUCUAAUAAAAUUUACAUUCAAAGAAACAAGAAUAAAGCUUGUAACAUAUUACAACAUUUAAAUCAAAGACUAUGAACUACAAAACCCAAAAGGAUUCACCAACUACUAGACCUAGGCUCUGAUACCACUAGAAGGAAAUUUUGUGAAAACAUGUUCAUUUAAGCAACAUCUAUUGCAUGCAAUUAACAAUUAAAAGGCGGAAUCAUGCUUGUAUGCACUUAAAAACAAAACAUUAACCAUGAAAUUCAAAGCCUAGUAGAUUGGUGAACCAAGACUCAACUCAAAUCAAAGUGAGUUGAGAAAUUUAUACCUUUGUAAAUUCCUCUUUGCAUAAGCAAAGGCUAAUCACCCAAGGAGAGGGCCUUCAUUCCUUGCUUCUUAGAUCCAUGGAUUUGGAUGGAAGAAUAGGUUUCUCCAAGUUCUCAAAAUUGAGAACCUCUAAGUCUCCACACCAAGGUAAGAUGUGAAGAAGAGAUGAGUGACCUUGGAGGAGAAAGAUUACUAGCUAAUCCCUCCAAGGGUGGCCGGCCUCUUUAGAGAGAAAAGAGAGCUUGUGCUCUCAUCCUUUCCCCAAAAGAAAACCCUAAAUGAAUUUUGGUUAUAAAAUCAUAUUUAUACCUUUAUUCAUUGGAGUGGCAAACUUGUAAUUAAAGCAAGUUCACUACCCUUCCUCUAAAUGGCCAGCCAUAGGGUUCUAUUGGGCUUUUUGGGCCUUUGUGAAUUAAGUUGUCAUACAACUUGAGUUAAUGGGCUUGACGUUCGAAGCCCAUUGGGCCUUGAGGCCCAAAACUAACCCGUGGUCUUUUAACGAACUUUAUUCUUUUGAUUAAUUAACAUAUUAAUUAAUCCUUGCCAUAAAUAAAUAAUUAAACCAUUUAAUUAUUCUUACUUAUCUCCUUUGUUUCUUCAAUCUCUACCUUACACGGUGUACGAUCCAUUAGGUUCCUUUUAGCGAGGCAGUGGGCAAUUAGAACUAUUUCAAAUCGAUUGUGAAUUGAAACUUACUUUCAAUUCUCCCUUUAGUGAUUAUACACGUUUAGGGCUUCCACA